GUUUCUGUGUGUAUGUAAGAAAAGAAGUGUGUGUGUUUGCAUGCGUGUGAACGGGUUUGCAUUGUCUGUUUCUGUGUAUGUGUGCAAAGGAUGCAUUGUAUUUGUGUGUAAGGGUUGCAUUGUGUGUGUGUGUGUAAUGGAUGCAUUGUGUGUUUCUCUAUGUGUAAGGGAAGCAUGUUGUGUUUCUGUGUAUGUAUAGGGAUGCAUUGUGUGUGUGUGCGCGUGUAGUGUGAAAGAGCUCCCUGUCUUGGCCCCUGUCCUAUAGAGCUGCCUCUUCUUCUUAUUCCCC